GCGCUGCUGACGAGUCCUAAACAGGACGAAACAUUUGUCUAAUGU
rnacentral:hammerhead_ribozyme from 1 species